UGGUGUUUGACAUAUGUUCUAACAUUCUUUCAGGUGCAGAUGCAUUGCAUCCAUGGCAGAGGGUCAGGGUUAGGAGGUGCCGGGCCUCCUUUGGAGCACACUGUCUGAGAGACACCAGCCCGGUGCCAGCAGGACCUUCCCAGGUGACGAGGUAGCCUUUCUUUGCACCUGACACAGACUGGCAUCCCCAGAUGUCUGAGAGAUAAGUAGGAGGACUGUGACCCACAGAGGGGAUGAACGUGGGGUGCUGGUUUGGGAAUUACUGGGAGGGGUUUUUGAGUCCAAUUUGGAGGUGGGGGGUGUCCAUGAAGUGGCCCCUUAUGCCCCAUGAAAGCAAAGUCUCACUCUUGCCCACAGUGCUGAGGUGCGCAGGGCAGAGCAGUCCCGGUGUGUCUCAUGUCACUUGUCUGUUGUGCAUUGUGUGUUGUUUGUGUAUCCCGUUUCUUUUACGUUAGCCUUUGAGGGGCCUGUCAGACACCCUGGCAUCAUUGUUGGCAUCUGUGAUCUCUGCAUUCCUUGGCCUGGCACCCAGGCCAUAGAUGCGAUUCUGAUACCUGUCUGAGCUCCCCAGUCAGAAGUUCUCUCUUUGGAAGCAUCCAGUCAUAUGUCUUUUCAGGUCUUGUUCGGAGCUGUACAGACAGCUAUGCCCCACCUGGAUCCAUUUUGGUGGAAUAGCACUUGUAACAAUGUGAGGGCAGUCAGAGGAUUCUGACCAUAGGAUUCCUGGGUAUCGAUCUUUGCUGUUCUUGGAAUAAAUCCUUCAGUUAGCAUCUUCUUCCUCCGGGGUUCUCUGAGCCUCAUCAGCUGACUGUCAGUUUGAACUCAGUCAUCUCCUUUUGCGUUCUCUUAGUCCAUGCAGCCAUUUUCCUGGCCAAGAGAUUUCUGUCAAUGUUGUGUCCGCAUUGUCCGUCCUGUCUUGUCCUGCCUGUCCUGUGUCACGGGUGUCAGCACACAUUUGUGCCGGAGCUGCUCUGCCCUGCCGCAUAGCCUGGUGCAAUAGGAGAGGGCCCGGGGACCUGGAAUGUGUAAUGUGGGGUGUAGUUGGACUCUAGAUGGGAUUUGUAGAUGGACUCAUCAUAUCUGGAGCUCAUCAGUUAUCCUGCAACAGUUUGACUCUUAUCCUAACUUUUUUUCCAGAUUCAGAUGGAUUAAAUCUGUGCCAGAGGGCCCCAUCCCGGGUGAGGGGAUUGCCCCGAGCAGGAAGUCAAUCUGGAUACCAUCAGCCAAGGUGAGCAGUGGAGAGAAGUGGUUGUUAUUGCUCAGCUCUCAAGCACAACAAUUUUUCAGCAGAUUCAUCAUGACACAAGAGGGAUCUUCCCAGUGUCAAGGAUGAUGUUUGAG